AGGAUGAACGCUGGCGGCGUGCCUAACACAUGCAAGUCGAACGUCCUGUCUCGCAAGAGGCAGGGAGUGGCGGACGGGUGAGUACCACGUGGGUCAUCUACCGUGAGGUGAGGAAUACCGGCGAGAAAUCGCCGACAAGACCGCAUAGGCUCGAUGCAAGUCGAGCAAAGCUCUUUCGAGAGAGGGAGCGCCACACGAGGAGCCUGCGCCCGAUUAGCUAGCUGGUGGAGUAACGGUUCACCAGGGCGACGAUCGGUAGCUGGUCUGAGAGGACGAUCAGCCACACUGGGAUUGAGAACGGCCCAGACUCCUACGGGGGGCAACAGUGAGGAAUUUUCGUCAAUGGGGGCAACCCUGAACGAGCAACGCCGCGUGCAGGAAGAAGGUUUUCGGAUCGUAAACUGCUUUUCGUCGGGAAGAGAAUGGACGGUACCCGAGGAAUCAGCCCCGGCUAACUACGUGCCAGCAGCCGCGGU
rnacentral:rRNA from 1 species